UGUUUGGUUAUUUCUCACUUCAGGUUGAUGUGAGCUUUUAAUUAUUGAUUCAGCUGAUUAAAAUUAACUCACCCUGAAUGGGUGAAAUGUUGUUUUUUGGUUUUUUUUUCGUGGAAUUGUUGUCUAUUAUAAGAGUGUUCUUACUUUUACUUAUCGUGCAAUAAAAUCUACUUUUGCAAGUUUUUUAUUAAUGAAAUUUCAGCAAUUUUGAACUGGCUGCUAAAUGCCUUUAGCAACUUAGCUAUCUUUGGCACUGAUUGAUCCUACUGAUGGUUGAUCCUGCUGACGGUAUUCUUAAACUUUUUUUAAUCAUUGUGGUUAAUCUUCAUAUAGAUAGAGGUGAAACCCUAUGUUUAUUUGCAAGACUUUUCACCAUUGCUUGCUGUUUCUUUUCCUAUUAGAGACUAAAUUGUCAAUAGUACCUCCAAUGUCUCUUUCUUAUGCCUUUUAAUGAUUUUAGUUGGGCUAUCAUGCAUGACUGACUUGCCUUAACUAUUAAUUGGAUGUACUGAAAGUCUGGAACGUUAUGUUUUUUCCUUGACAUGCUCUUCAAAUAUUUACCUAAAAAUCAUCAUCAGAAGGAUUGACCAAAUCAAAUCAUGUAACCAAUUGUGUGAACAUAAAUCAUAUAUGUUUAAUCUGUUUAUCUGUCAUGCCAAUUGGAUAUGUAGAUUCUGUGCACCUUCAGUACUUGUGCAGGUUUUUCUUCUUUAUUGGUCAAACCUGUGAGUGAAAGGAUAAAAUUAGCUGGUAAGUGAGAAAUUUGCAAAUUGGAAAUAUUAGAUUUUCUUAAAGAAAAGGUGGAUAACACACCCAGCAUAUUGGCUUCAGGAAGACAAUAGGGCUGGAAGGAAAGUAUUCUGUUAAAAAAACCAGCAUGAACCAAUUCUAGUGAGUCUCUCAGUAAGUGGGAGUACUAGUGGAGUAGUUGAAUUACCUUAAAGGUAUUUAGAAUUCUUUAUGCUACGUAUUGUAUCUUGACUCAGUUAGUUGCACUCACGCCAGAUUAACGUGAGUGACUGUUUUACCCCCCCCCCCCCC